UACGAAGGGGGCUAGCGUUGCUCGGAAUCACUGGGCGUAAAGCGCACGUAGGCGGAUUUCUAAGUCAGGGGUGAAAUCCUGGAGCUCAACUCCAGAACUGCCUUUGAUACUGGGAAUCUCGAGUCCGGGAGAGGUGAGUGGAACUGCGAGUGUAGAGGUGAAAUUCGUAGAUAUUCGCAAGAACACCAGUGGCGAAGGCGGCGCACUGGCCCGGUACUGACGCUGAGGUGCGAAAGCGUGGGGAGCAAACAGG
rnacentral:rRNA from 1 species